UACGUAGGGGGCUAGCGUUGUCCGGAAUCAUUGGGCGUAAAGCGCGUGUAGGCGGUCCGGUAAGUCCGCUGUGAAAGUCGGGGGCUCAACCCUCGAAUGCCGGUGGAUACUGUCGGGCUAGAGUGCGGAAGAGGCGAGUGGAAUUCCCGGUGUAGCGGUGAAAUGCGCAGAUAUCGGGAAGAACACCCGUGGCGAAGGCGGUUCUCUGGGACGGUACUGACGCUGAGACGCGAAAGCGUGGGGAGCGAACAGG
rnacentral:rRNA from 1 species